GGGGGAAUAUUGCGCAAUGGGGGGAAACCCUGACGCAGCAACGCCGCGUGAUCGAAGAAGGUCUUCGGAUUGUAAAGAUCUUUUAUCAGGGACGAAGAAAGUGACGGUACCUGAUGAAUAAGCUCCGGCUAACUACGUGCCAGCAGCCGCGGUAAUACGUAGGUGGCAAGCGUUAUCCGGAUUUACUGGGUGUAAAGGGCGCGUAGGCGGGGAUGCAAGUCAGAUGUGAAAUCUAUGGGCUUAACCCAUAAACUGCAUUUGAAACUGUAUCUCUUGAGUGUCGGAGAGGUAGACGGAAUUCCUAGUGUAGCGGUGAAAUGCGUAGAUAUUAGGAGGAACACCAGUGGCGAAGGCGGUCUACUGGAC
rnacentral:rRNA from 1 species